rnacentral:rRNA from 1 species
AUUGAACGCUGGCGGCAUGCUUUACACAUGCAAGUCGAACGGUAACAGGUUAAGCUGACGAGUGGCGAACGGGUGAGUAAUGCAUCGGAACGUGCCCGAUCGUGGGGGAUAACGCAGCGAAAGCUGCGCUAAUACCGCAUACGAUCGGAGGAUGAAAGCGGGGGACCGUAAGGCCUCGCGCGAUCGGAGCGGCCGAUGUCAGAUUAGGUAGUUGGUGGGGUAAAGGCUCACCAAGCCAACGAUCUGUAGCUGGGCUGAGAGGACGACCCGCCACACUGGGACUGAGACACGGCCCAGACUCCUACGGGAGGCAGCAGUGGGGAAUUUUGGAAAAUGGGCGAAGGCCUGAUCCAGCAAUGCCGCGUGCAGGAAGAAGGCCUUCGGGUUGUAAACUGCUUUUGUACGGAGCGAAAAGGUUCUCUCUAAUACAGAGGGCUCAUGACGGUACCGUAAGAAUAAGCACCGGCUAACUACGUGCCAGCAGCCGCCGUAACAC